AGCACUACACUUUUGCCAACAACCUCAAAUUCCCCUGCCCGGAUAACCAUGCAAUCAACAAGCAUGAGCGAAUCAGUGGUUUCAACAGAAAAAUACACCACAACUCAACAGACAACACCCAAAACCACCCUCGCAUCUCUUGAUCCCCCCACGGAGAAUGAGGGAUAUCUUUAUCUAAAAUUCAAGUUGGUGCUUGAUUUUCUACAAGAUUAUUACGACAGACAAUCAUCUAAAUAUAUAUUACUGGAAAGAAACAUAACAACAGAGCUUAAUCGAGGAUUCAAACACCAAUAUCCUUUAACCUUCCGGAGAUCGAUUAUCAUCAAUUUACGGCCUGGCUCUGUAGAGGUGUUAAGUCAGAUAAUUUUUGAAAACAAGACAUUUCCCGUUGAAGAAGACAUAAAGAACACAUUAAAAAAAGGCCUUGAUGAAUCCAUUAUACUCUUAGAUGUCAUCCGAUCCAGCAUUGUUGCUUGUGAGUAUAAU